UACGUAGGGGGCAAGCGUUGUCCGGAAUCAUUGGGCGUAAAGCGCGUGUAGGCGGCUGAGUAAGUCUGCUCUGAAAGCCCGGGGCUCAACCCCGGGAGGCGGGUGGAUACUGCUCAGCUCGAGUCCGGAAGAGGAGUGUGGAAUUCCUGGUGUAGCGGUGAAAUGCGCAGAUAUCAGGAGGAACACCCGUGGCGAAAGCGGCUCUCUGGGACGGUACUGACGCUGAGACGCGAAAGCGUGGGGAGCAAACAGG
rnacentral:rRNA from 1 species